AUUGAACGCUGGCGGCAGGCCUAACACAUGCAAGUCGAGCGAGCGGCGGACGGGUGAGUAAUGUCUGGGAAACUGCAUGAUGGAGGGGGAUAACUACUGGAACCGGUAGCUAAUACCGCAUACCAUCAGAUGUGCCCAGAUGGGAUUAGCUAGUAGGUGGGGUGACGGCUCACCUAGGCGACGAUCCCUAGCUGGUCUGAGAGGAUGACCAGACACACUGGAACUGAUACACGGUCCAGACUCCUACGGUAGGCAGCAGGGGGGAAUAUUGCACAAUGGGGGCAAGCCUGAUGCAGCAAUGCCGCGUGUAUGAAGAAGGCCUUCGGGUUGUAAAGCACUUUCAGCGGGGAGGCGUUACCCGCAGAAGAAGCACCGGCUAACUCCGUGCCAGCAGCCGCGGUAAUUC
rnacentral:rRNA from 1 species